CCCCUCCAUGCUCGAGUCUCCUGCUUGUAGUCCAUGUGAUGUUCUGCUCUUGUCAGGACCGUGUUACAGCAAGACAAAAGUCACAACUCAUCCAGAUAGUUGAAGACACUUAAGAGAUCAGCUAGUGUAGAGACUCAUCAAUUCAGAAUCUGAAGUUUUCAAGGACCUUGAUGAAGGACAGGAGAAGAAUCUUUACAGCAGUCUGCUUUGUACACUCUUGGCAUUCUCUCAGCCAGACUCAGG